CCAGAGGGUCGGGCGGCCGCGUCGGGGAAACUCGCCGAGGAAAGUCCGGGCUCCGCGGAACGACGGUGCCGGGUAACGCCCGGCGGCCCCGGACUGGAUCCGAGGUCAGGGAAAGUGCCACAGAGAGCAGACGGCGACCGUUUCGACGACGCCACGGUGAAAGGGUGCGGCAAGAGCGCACCGCGCGGCUGGCAACAGCUGCGGCACGGCAAACCCCACCGGGAGCAAGACCGAAUAGGGACGGCAUAUGCGCCUCGUUCCGGCGCGUCGUCCGGGUUGGUCGCUAGAGGCGGCGCGCGAGCGUCGUCGUAGAGGAAUGGUCGCCCAUCCCCGGCAACGGGGUGGACAGAACCCGGCUUACAGACCCUCUGGUAUC
rnacentral:RNase_P_RNA from 1 species